AUUGCUUCAUGGUCUCUGUGUAUAUAAUGUCUUCUGCAGUUUCCACAGUAUGCAUCCGAUGAAGUGAGCUGUAGCUCACGAAAGCUUAUGCUCAAAUAAAUUGGUUAGUCUCUAAGGUGCCACAAGUACUCCUUUUCUUUUUGCGAAUACAGACUAACACGGCUGUUACUCUGAAAUCUAUCAAAUGUAUGUGUUUUGCUGUGUUCUAUAACCACUAGAGAACACCCCUCAACAGAGCCAGGGAUAGAACCCAUAAUUCCUGAUUCCCAGUACUCCUCUGUUGUCUCCUAAGUAGGUGUGAAAGCCCAAGGCAAAGGUAUGAGCCAUUCCUUGUAAUUGCUAGUCUCUGUAAAGGAUAACAGCACAUUACUGCUUCCAAUUAGUCUUCUAGCUCAAAGGGUAGAGAUCUGGGUUGUGGUUUUAAAGGUCCUGAGUCCCAGGUCAUUGUAAUUCCACAUGAUGGAAUUUGCUUUUUCAGUUUGCCUUUUUUUUUUUUUUUUUUCUUUUUUUGAAAGUUGCAAAUUACAGCCCCCCCACACUCCUCAACAACUUCUAAAACAAGACAUAUGUAUGUUAAGAGAAUGUUAAGGUUGCCAUGUCAAGCACUCAAAAUAAAUUGUUGAGAAAUAGCUGUAAAUGAAUGAAAAGAACAUAUUAUGGAUAGCUCUAGACAUUCUCCCUACUGAUUUUAACUGGUAUACUUACUCAUGAGUGUGCACAUUGUAAUACAGUCAUUUGUGCAUUUGAGUAUUUGAUCCCACGUGUGACAGUGAACAAAAUGCAAGUUCGUUGCUCUGUUUCUUUAUUGGUACAUCCCACUGUUGUAUUUGCUUCCCCAGCUGUGGCCAGACACAUUGAUCUGAUGGUUUUACGUUUCUGCCCCUCUCACCCUUCAGGAUCCUUAGGGUGUAAUCCCUUUUGACGCUUGUCAAUUUUUAGCAGGUAUAUUACUUCAUACUUCCUACACCAAAGUUACACUGUUCCACCCAUGGCCCUAUUUUUUCUGUGUCUUCAGCUCCAAGCUCUGUGUUUAGAUAGGGCGCUUACAGGUACUCUGUAUUGCUGAGAUCUUAUGAAUCUGAUCACUAGUCACUUGGAUUUCCAUGUGGCACAUUUCCUGAUAGAUAAAUGUCAUCCAGUCUGAAAGCGGGUUAUUUAUAAAUGUGCAAUGAUUUUUUUGUCGAUGAAGUUCUGUUACUGGUAAGCUAUUCUCUGAUUGGCUGAAGUACACAAGUCUGUGGUUUUUAUUUGCCAUGCCAAAUUCAAAUAUUCAGUAAUAGUACAAAUAAGCAAUUAUCAUUUUGAUAACUUUGACAGUGGUACAAUUAUUUGUCCCUGGGCGCAACAGAAAUAGGCAUAGCCAUAGAAUGCCAUUUGGGGAUAAUUUACUGUGUUUUAUAUAUUUAUAAUACAAUUGCAGAGGUUAUAUACAGUUUUUAUAUAGGUAUAUAUUUAACUGUUCACUCAAACCUUUGUAUGUCUAUUUUGGUCUGGGUUUUGAGGGCAGCAACCAAAAAUUGUAACUCAAAGAGGAAGCUCAGUUCAAAAAAUUGAAAAAAAUCUCUGAUUUAACUUUCUGUCCCGCGGUCUUGCCAGUAUGUAAAAUGAGUAUAAUGACCUGCUUCUCAAGGGUGCUUGGGUAAAAGGUGCUAUGUACUUGCAAGGUAUUCAUGUGGCCUUUCCUUGCUAUUGUUUCCUACACAAGGUCUUUGAAAUUUAGUAUGUCAAGUGCUUUACUGAAACCCGUCACUUUAAGGCAACCUGUGUGUUUCCAGUUGUUUAGCUGAUUCUCUUCCCUCUUCUUAAGUAUCCAUAUACAUUCCACAUCUGCUUCUGAUUUAGAUUUCACUUGAAUAGACAGCGUUUCUUUACCCUAGCAACCAUACUGCUGUGCACAUUGCAUGUGUGGGAUCUGACCAGUAUUGUCUUGUUGUUUUCUUUCCUGUCUCUCUCUGCCUGUCUAGCCACCUGUUUUAUUCCGAGAUCGUUAAGCUCUUUGUGAUGGGGAAAGCCUUUGUUUUGUUUGUAUGAUGCCUGAUGCAAUGGGGUCUUCUUCAUAGAAUCAUAGAAUAUCAGGGUUGGAAGGGACCUCAGGAGGUCAUCUAGUCCAACCCCCUGCUCAAAGCAGGACCAAUCUCCAACUAAAUCAUCCCAGCGCGGGCUUUGUCAAGCCUGACCUUAAAAACUUCUAAGGAAGGAGAUUCCACCACCUUCCUAGGUAAUGCAUUCUUCUUUGAUUGGAACUCCUAAGAGCUGUUACAAAACAAAUAUAUAAAUAAUAUGUACACAACGUGGUAUGGAAUUAAAAAUUCCACAAAGAAAAUAUAUUCUCUUUUUAACUCAUGGCUAAUAUGUUUUAAUCCAUGUCCAGAACUGCAAACCUGCUCAUGAAAGAUCUUACAUAAAUGCACCUGUGAUAAUAAUCAGGUGUUUUACAUUCACUACUGAAUUAGCUAUGCUUCAUGUUUCUGUGUUUAUCCUACCUGAUUGUAUUGGAUGAUAACCCUGAUCUCAUUUUUAAUAUUUUCUUAGUAUCCUUUUAGCUAUUAUGUAAAUUCAAGAGAUUCCAAUUUUAAUAAGGGCCAUACCCUUAUGUAAAUUAGUUCUUGUAAUGAUGCUAAUAUAGCUAUGAUGCAAAACAGUACUUCAUUUGGUCAAGUGUCUUUCAUCAAACCAUGUCUCAAAAUGGUAUUACUAAAGCUUUGUCUUCCAAUACAGUUAAAACGUACAACCUCCUAGUGUGGCUGUAGUUGUGACACAGUAAGCUGUUCGCACACAGGAAGAGGGAUAACAUAUAGUGGUGUAAGGUUUAUACUGAUAUAAUUGCGUCCACACUAUGGGUUGUACUGGUAUAACUAUAUCAGUGAAAAUCACACUCCUAAGCAACACUACCAAAAAAAAAAAAAAAGUGUAGACCUGGUUAAAGGAGAGUGUUAAAGGAGAAGUGACAUUUUUAGUUGAGAUCAGAAAUAUGGAAGGUUCCUGAACCAGAGAGCUAGAGGAAAGCUGUUCCAGAUGGCAGAGGAGAAGGGUCUCCCUCAACCAGUGGCAAGAUUUUUGUGAAGAGUCAGAUGAGGCUAGUGCUAGGUGGGUAGGGAGUAGAGAGAGCGAGAGAAGGGCUGCUACAAUAUUAGUUGGUGGAGAAGGCAGCUGUGAACUGAAUUCAGAAAUUAAUGGGUAAUCAGUGAGGUGGUUUGAGGAUGCGGGUGACAUUUGCACUUGUUUUGAUAUGAGUUUAGGCAACACAUUUGUUAGGGCAGUGAUGCUCAGACUGAAACUCGCGAGCCACAAGUGGCUCUUUAAUAUGUGUCCUGCAGCUCUUCGCAGCACAUGUUAUUAAAACACUGUGUGAUUUAAUUAUUAACCAAUCAGGAUGCUUUUACUGUGUUAUUAACCAGUUGUAACUGAUAAAAUAAUAAUACUUAGUCAUUUUGCUGUGAGAAUAGUUUGUGUGUCUAUACACACACAUCUAUAUAGUAAAUGAAACAAUGAAUUCACACGACUGUGGCUCUUUUGGGUAACGUUCAUGGCUAAUUUCGCUCCUGAAACACUGAGGUCUGCAUAUCACUGUGCUAGAGUCUGGAGAUCUGGAAUUUUAAGAGAAAAUAGGGAAUUGUCAUUGUCCAGGUGAGAAGAAAUGAAAGCAAAGACUAGGGUUUCACCGAAAGGGGAGUCAACCCAUUGGCCUACAUGAGAAGAGGAAGAAGAAAAAGUUCAGGGUCCAGGGUGAUGUCCUGGCUUAAUUUUACAAACAUAAGGAGUAUAGUUUAAGGAAUAGUCUAAAUUAUGCUAUUUUGUACAAACAAGAAUUCGAGAAUAAACCUGCGUUAGUGUGAAACUUCGAGAAUCCACUUAUAUGCAGUCAGGAUUUUUUGAUUUCCACAUUAAAAUUGACCUUGAUUUUUUUUCUAAACCUGAGAUCAUACAUAAGUAGUAAUGUUAACUUUGACCAGAAUUUUUCAGGACAAGAAUCAGUGCUUGGGUAUGACCUUCAACACAUUAAAUAUUUUGCUUUUCCUGAAAUUUAUAAAAAUAACCUUUUAGUCACUAUAAUAAAAUUAAAAAUCGGGCCACAAUUAUAGCAAAUUACUCAAUGCAAGUAUAUCUGAGAUCAUAUAAACUGGUCACAGUGGGGGUUUUUUUUGAGAGAGAGAGAAAUGCGCAGCCUCAUAGAUUCCCUGAUUUAAACUUUACCUGGUGAAUCAGAAGUUGAUUAGAUAUUUUUAGAGAAUCGCAUCUGAGGAUCAAGCUUCGAACAAGUGAAAAUUUGUCAAGAAACUAUUGGAACUCAAAUAUAAUGUAGUGUCAGAAGGUCUGGUCAUGUUUAUAGAAGGAUUUGGGCUGAAUAUAAUUAUAGACUCAUAGUCUUCAGGGUCAGAAGAGACCAUCAUUAUCAUCUAGUUUGGCCUCCUGUACGUUGCAGGCCACAGAACGUCAUCCACCCACUCCUGUAAUAGACCCACAGCCUCUGGCUGAGUUACUGAAGUCCUCAAAUCAAGGUGUAAAGACUUCAAGUUACAGAGAAUCUACCAUUUAUUCUAGUUUAAACCUGCAAUUGACCCAGCCCCCAUGCUGCAGAGGAAGGUGAAAAACCUCCAGGAUCUCUGCCAGUCUUCCCCAGGGGAAAAUUCCUUCCCAACCCCAAGCAUGGUGAUCAGUUAGACUUUGAGCGUGUCGGCGAGACACACCAGGCAGACUCCUGGCAAAGAAUUCUCUGUAGUAACUCUCAGCCUUCCCCAUCUACUGUCCUAUAACCCGCCAAUGGAGAUAUUUGCUGCUAGCAGUCGCAGAUCGGCUACAUGACAUUGUAGACCAGUGGUCCCCAACCUUUCUGUGGGAAUAGCAUAUUGCUAUUCCCAGAAGACUGGUGGGUGCCGGACACCCCGCCGCCGAAAUGCCGCUGAGAAACGGCAACAUGUCUCGGUGGCAUUUCAGCAGGCGGUUCUCCGGCAGCUGUGCUUGGCGGCGGCAUUUUGGUGACGCGGUGUCCCGUGGGCGCACAAAAAUGCCCCGGCGGGCGCCAUGGCUCCCAUGGGCACCACGUUGGGGACCACUGUUGUAGACAGUCUCAUCAUACCAUUCCCUCCAUAAACUUGUCAAGCUCAGUCUUGAAGCCAGUUAGAUUUUUUUGCCCCCACUGCUCCCGUUAGAAGACUGUUCCAGAACUUCACUUCUCUGAUGGUUAGAAAGCUUUGUCUAAUUUUGAGCCUAAACUUGUUGAUGGCCAGUUCUUGUGUCCACACUGGUGUUGAACUUACAUAAAGUGUGUGAUUUAUACAUAAUAGGUGAUUUUCAGAGUGAGGAAAAAGUGUAUCUUGCUGGUUUAUCUUUCAAUAGUGUCCACAUUCACUUGGUUCUAUACUUUCUUUUGUGAAGGAAAUCAUUUUUAGUCUGUAUGAAGACUCAAAGGAGAAACUUCCAUUCCACCUCCAAAGAAAUGCGCAAGGGUCCACACCUAUUUCAAAGUGAUUAAGUGACUUAUAAGCGUAAGUCCCAUUUUCAAAUUUGAGUUAGGCACAUAGGAACCUCAGGCUCAUGGAAUGUCAAUGGGAAAGUCAAUUUGACCAAAGCUCUAAAAUUAAACAAGUAUCUUUCCUUUCUGGGGCAUUCAGAAUUAUCCACAUGGAGCAUGAUGCAUUCAGUUUUGAAGUGUUAGAUGUAUUUAUUUAGACUUACAAGAGCCACAAAGAAAUGCCUCAAAUUAUUUAAAAGCACAACUAAUAUAAACAUAUUUGUAAAUAACACUCUGUGUUUAGAAGGACACUAUCUAUUUGAAAUCUAAUUAAUUAACAUAAAAGGUGAAAAGUACUUUCAGGUAUUAGCAUACGUCCCUGAGUCCCUUUUUGCCAAAUGUUGUGUUUUUUCAAUAGCAUUAUCCUACUCACAAUAUUUCUCUCUCCUUGAUUGUUGUAUGAAAUAUGCAAACCCAGGGAAGAUGGUGCUCUAAGUCCCAAAUCCUGCAAAAACACACACACAGGAGUAGGACUGUUGAGUUCAAUGUGUAAAGUUGCCAAUGCAAUGCAAUUUGCAAUGGUGUAAUUAAACACAAAGUAAAGUAAACUGGAAAAAAAAAAAGAUUUUUCCCCAUAAUUUUUCAUUUAUAGUAAUUUUAGGUGGUGGUCAUAAAAAAAAAAAAAUCAAGCAGAAGUGAUUUUUAAAUUGCCGGUGUCCUUGAGUAACCAUUGCCUGAUGAAUGGAAUGGACAAGAGGACAGAGAACUGUGGCAGCAGUCUAUUCUGAUUCUCGUAGCUUUGGCAGCAGCCGUAUAUAGUGCUGAGCUUCACACUCAUUUCAUCACGCUAUCUAGAGGCACUCUUUUGUUCAGUGAGGCGAGAGCACCGGAGUGUAACUGUGCAGCCACUUAAUAGCAUGGAAAGUUCAAGCUCAGCAUUCACCGCACAGAGAAGGCUGUGUGUACUACUUUGAAAUCUCCCUAGUAAACCUCUUUUGACUGACACAUUGGCCUGCUGAGUGAUGUGAUGCAGACUCUUGGGUUGACCUCUCUUGUAUUUCUAUUUACACUUCAUCUGAAGUAAUUUCCCAGUGUGAUGGAAAGAUGUCGUGCACUUUGGCUGGAAAGAUAAAAUAGAUAAAAAUGUAACCAGGUUACAGCAGGAAAGUAUCCCGAGGUUGUUUGCCAGCAGGUGCUUCCCAUGACAUUCCUUCUGGAAUUCUUACGACUUCAACUGUUUGGUAAAGCGUCUGAGCAGCUUCUAAGAAACCGAGCGUCAGUGCCUUGGGAACUGAAAAGCAGUGGAAGAUGCAUGUAGUGGAGCCAGACUUUUGUUUGCCUGUUUACAGUUAAUUUCUGGUAGUCUUUUUAUUGUGUAUUCAUGGCCACAUGGAAGCACCACAAAAUGCUGUGCUGAAAUAGGUUUCAUUUUGCUAAUCCUGUUUUAUUCUUAUUUCAUCGUAGCUUUGCAAGUGCCAUAAUGAAUUUGAAAUAUAUAGUCAAAUGAUACAGUGUCAUGGAAUGUAUUGGAAGCCAACCUGAAUACAUUUAAAACUAGAUGUGAAUUUUUUUCAUGUAAAAUGCAGUUCACAUUCACUCAAUCACACGAUCUUGAAAUAAAAGCCCUGCAUACCAAACAGGAAAGGAAGUAUAAACCUCUAUUCCUGCAGCAUGCUCAAACCCAUAAUGUGAGUGCAAUCAUUUUAUCCAUGCCAAAGAGGAACCUUUCUUUCAUGAGGACCUAAUAAAGGAAUUUUCUUCCACUUGUUUUUACUACACAAAGAGUGCUAGUUGCUUGAAAUGGGUUUGCUAAUUAUUACUAUUUCAUACUGUGGUCGCAUGUAGAGGCCCCAACUGAAAUUUGGGCUGCAUUGUGCUGGCCCUGUACAAACACAAUAACGACAGUACCUACCCUGGGGAGCUUAAGCUUUGUCUACACUACACAUUUUUAUUGGCAAAAGGCACCUUUUGUUGACAAAGCAGUGGAGGUGUACAUACUGUGCUGCUCCUCCUGCCGACAAAACUGUCCUGCUCUGCCGACAAAAUAAAACCACCUCAACGAGAGGCAUAGAGGUUUUUGAGGCAAAGUUAGAUCGACAAAGUGUCAGUGUAGACGCCGCACUUGGUUUUGUCACUGUAAAUGGCCUCCAGCAGGUGUCCGACGUUGGCUAUCCUGACCAUGCUGGUCAGCAGUUUGAACUGCGCUGCUCUGCACCCAGAUACGCAAGCAUCCACCCCUUCCCCUUUAAAGGCCUGAGAAUUUUUGAAAUUCCAUUUCCUGUUUGCUCUGCGUGGACUGGACAUCACAUUACAUCUUCCCAGCUUAUCAUGGCGUUGUCAGCAGCAAAUGCUCUUCCGCUUCGACCACAGCUGAAUUGUUGGAUCUGCUGAAUAUAUGGGGAGAGGAGGCUGUCCAUCCUAGCUGCACUCCAGCUGUAGGAACUUCAAUACCUUUGAGCAGAUUUCUCGUGGCCUGUGCAAUGAGGGCUACGAAUGGGACACGGUUCAGUGCCGAGCAAAGAUAAAGGAGCUGAGGCAAGCAUACCAGAAUGCAAGGGAGGCAAACCCUCACUCUGGUGUUUUUGGGAAAGACCUGCUGCUUCUGUAAGGAGCUAGACCCCAUCCUCGGCGGUGACCCCACCGCCAAAAGCCCGUGGAUACUUCGGUAGGGCUGGAAGUGGCAGACAGUGGAUCUAACCCUGAGGACAAAGUCGUGGACAAGGAGAUUGAGUUGGAGGAUGAUGUGGAGCACACGUCAGGGUUGUCCAAUGGCAUGGCAAGUCAGGACCUCUUUUCCACUUUUGAGGGAUCUGGCCAGUCGCAGCAGUCCGUCUCUGGUGCGCAUGAUGCAGAAGAGGAGAGCCCUGAUGUGGCUUUCGGGGGAACCUCCUACAAGCUUGCGGAGUGCCUCUGCCAGAUAAGAAGGCAACCAAGGCGUAGCAAGGAGGACAUGUUCUGAGAGGUGCUCCAAUCCUCGGAGGCUGAAAAAAGAGAACAUGGAGUGGAGAGAAAAGGAAAAGGCAAUACAGAAAUGAGAGUGAGGAGCACAUUCUAAAAGGCCAUGAAUGGGUGAUAAAAGUGAUAGAGGAACAAACAGAGAUGUUGAAGUCCCUAAUCGUGCUACAGUCAGAACAGAUGUGUGCUCACCCCUCCCUCCGCAGCCAAUACAGAACUAUUUUCAGUGCCCUCCCCAAACUCCUCCCACACAUUCGGUGCAACUUCCCAGCAUGUCUGAGUACCCUGUUCGCUCCACCCCUUUGGAGAGGUUCCAAAAUGGUAGCUGGACUUAUGCACAGCUCUGAGAGCCUUCACUGUCCUUCACUGUUAUCUCCCUUCCCACCAAACCUUUUCUGUGUUUUAAUUGGUGUUUAAUAAAAACAAACUCUGUGAAAGCAAA